GAGAGGGAGAGAGCAGAGGUAGAGAGAGGAAAGAGAGAGUAGAGAGACAGGGUAAAGAGAGGAGAGGGAGAGAGCAGAGGUAGAGAGAGGAAAGAGAGAGUAGAGAGACAGGGUAGAGAGCAGAGGUAGAGAGGAAAGAGAGAGUAGAGAGACAGGGUAAAGAGAGGAGAGGGAGAGAGCAGAGGUAGAGAGGAAAGAGAGAGUAGAGAGACAGGGUAAAGAGGAGAGGGAGAGAGCAGAGGUAGAGAGAGGAAAGAGAGAGUAGAGAGAGGAAAGAGAGAGUAGAGAGACAGGGUAAAGAGGAGAGGUAGAGAGCAGAGGUAGAGAGGAAAGAGAGAGUAGAGAGACAGGGUAAAGAGAGGAGAGGGAGAGAGCAGAGGUAGAGAGAGGAAAGAGAGAGUAGAGAGACAGGGUAAAGAGGAGAGGGAGAGAGCAGAGGUAGAGAGGAAAGAGAGAGUAGAGAGACAGGGUAAAGAGGAGAGGGAGAGAG
ensembl:lncRNA